AUUGAACGCUGGCGGCAUGCUUUACACAUGCAAGUCGAACGGUAACAGGUUAAGCUGACGAGUGGCGAACGGGUGAGUAAUGCAUCGGAACGUGCCCGGUCGUGGGGGAUAACGCAGCGAAAGCUGCGCUAAUACCGCAUACGAUCUGAGGAUGAAAGCGGGGGACCGUAAGGCCUCGCGCGAUCGGAGCGGCCGAUGUCAGAUUAGGUAGUUGGUAGGGUAAAGGCUCACCAAGCCGACGAUCUGUAGCUGGUCUGAGAGGACGACCAGCCACACUGGGCCAGAGACACGGCCCAGAGUCCGACGGGGGGCAGCAGUGGGGAAUUUUGGACAAAGGGCGGAAGCCUGAUCCAGCAAUGCCGCGUGCAGGAAGAAGGCCUUCGGGUUGUAAACUGCUUUUGUACGGAGCGAAAAGGCUCUCUCUAAUACAGGGGGCUCAUGAAGGUACCGUAAGAACAAGCACCGGCUAACUACGUGCCAGCAGCCGCAGUAA
rnacentral:rRNA from 1 species